GCGGGGCUGCCGCUGCCCGUCCUGCUCCGGGAGGGACCGCUCGCGUAGGCGGCAGCCCGAGCCCUCCGAAGGACUAGGACCGCUCUCCGACGGCUCGGGGACCGCUAAUGAGAUACCGGACUCGGUUCAAGCGCGGAGUGUUGUGCUUUGCUUUAUAGUUCCGCGGUAGGAACUGCGCGGCGUACGGGGCCGGCCGUUCGGAGUGAGCCCAGCUGGCAGCAAUCCUCACCGAAAGACGGAGAAAGUAAUAAAGCGGUCAGAGCACGUGUAGGCAACCUCUUACGGCCAGAAUUCGUGCGAGGGAGCUGCCCGUUAACCCGCUGGAUAGAAGAAACCAUUUCGUAGCCAGCAAGCAUUCCUGAGUUUUGAUGUAAUCGGCUUUGUUCAGAAGCAUGAUAUUGAAACGUUGACCCCAGGACCACUUAGCAUGUUAUUUUUUGCUUAUCUUUCAAGGACUUAUUGCUCUCAAAGGACCCAAGGACCUUCCCCUCUUCUCUUCCCCCUCACCCCCACAAAAAAAAGAGAAAAAAAAGGAAGUGUGCUUUGUCACCAAUUGCACAAUGAAUCACAUUUCAGAAUUAGCAUCAGCUUCCUGUUUAUCUUGGAGGGCGAAUUUACAGCACUGCACUGUUCUUGGUGAUGCCUACUUAGUCUGUGUUCACUGAUAGCCCAUUGUUGUGGCACACACAUGAAAGAAAAAAAGGGAAGGAUUUCAGGGAAAAGAACUGAACAUUGGGGUGAUAAUUGCAGUUUCUCACCUAAUAGAGAAAGUUGCUUUAAGUAAAAACUUCAAUUCCAUUGUAUAUUGUUAUGGUCAGAUUUUAUGAAAAUACACAAGCUAAAUUAAGUAAUCAGUUAUGAAGUCUCACAGCCUGCCUGUCUGCAGUCUGACACACUGCAGCACAAGGACAGUAAGGGGCCUGUGCAGGUAAACACACGGCGCCACCAGAAAGAAGGACCUGGUCAUUCUGUGUUGCUGUCAGUUGUUCUUACUGUCAAGUGAUGAUAAUUUCUUGAGGAAAUCAACGGAAAAUCUGUAAUUUUGCCAAAAACAAGAGAGUUCCUAUGCCCAGGCUCGAUGUUUGUUGCUGAUUUUCUUAUCUUGUCACCUCUCCAUAGGUAAAGUCAUGGCGAAGAAUAACUUUUAUGAUGUAGUGACUUGUCUCUCACAGCUGUUACACCGUGGACCUGAUCAAAGCAAAACUUCAGAUAGAGUCCCACCACGAGAGCAUGCUACUGAGCAGCACGGAGCUCCACAGCACACCCACUGAGCAGCCAAAGGCAGAAGGCAGCCAGCUGGAACACACGGCAGACACUCAGCCCAUCAGCACAGAGCAGAGGUCAGGCAGAAAACUCUGCAACAGCGUGUUCAUGCUUGGAAGGGAGAGAAGACAACAGAAGAAAGGGGUGAAGAGAGAAGAUCAAAGGUUUCUUGCUGAGAAAUAUGGCUAUUACCCAAUUCAUGUCUGAGAUGUUAAGGAGGCAUUCAGUUGCAGCCAUGAAAUGAUUAAAUAGAGGCAUUUACCAGCCAUGUGUAUUUAAAGUAGGAAGCUUUCUGAGUAACAUCGAGGAGGAGCAGAUCUAUGGCAUCAGCUAUUCACAUCAGAGGAAUUACAAGACAAUUGCAUCUGCAGAAACAGCUCGUGGGAUCAGGCUUCAUGUUUUGCUCCUAUUCAACAUCUGCACUUCAAAGACUCGGGUUAACUUGGAAGACUGGAGUUUGCAUUUGACAACUGCAGCAAAAUGAAGUGUUAGCUUGUAGAAAUUAGAAGUUAAUCUAUGCAAGCUGGAAAAAUAUUAUACACUACUUUUUAUUUAGAAGUUGAACUCAAGAAAAAUAAGAAGUGCACACAGAUCUACUAGAAUCAUUGCCUCCAAACCACACAGUAAUGAAUGGCAGAAUUAAGCAAGAACUAAGGCAAUGGUGAAUUUGAGCUGAGGAAGAAACAGUUGUAAAAGGACAAACAGCAGUAAGAAACAGAAGCCUCCUAAAACAGGAUUAUCCAUCUUACCCUAACAUACAAAACCUGGAGGAAGAGCAUGGCGAUACAUGCAAUUGUCUCCGCCGCCUGGACAGACCCAAAACCAUCCGUAUUUGUUGUUUUCAAUAGCAUCAAGAAAAUAUUUGCAGACCUGCAUAAAACAACACUUGUUGGUCCUGUAUUCUCAUCCCCAGCAAUUUACACUAGCACAGCUACUACAUGCCAAAAGUACAGUAAUUCAAAGCCAGCUGUGGUCAAAAGUGAAUAAACGUGCCAUGCACUCCAUUACAAAAAGUAGAUAUAAAAAGAGCAACUAACUAUCUAAAACCUCAAGUACUCAACAGCUUUCGCCCUUAAUAUAAUCUCAACUUAGAUAGGCUGACUUGAAAGACUAGUGACUGUACUACAGUAAACCCAGCAGCACGUGUAAAAGCAUGCUAAGGGUUUAUGUUUGGUCAUGAAAACCGAGUGUACUUUUAAUCAAAAUAAACAAUUUCAGAUGUUUCACGUUCCAACUCAUGAUCCUGACAUAAAUAUAUCAUUCUGAAACUUCUGACAAGCAAUUUGUAACACCUAGUCAUACCUAAGUUUAAUUCUGGCAAGUAUCAAUAGCCUAUUUGGGACUGUGAACAAGGCAUAGUCGUCCUGAAGGAUCAAAAAAAAUAAAGAGCACAAAGGAUUAAGAUACAGCAUUCAGUGUACAAACUAAUUUCUUAGCAGCCAGGUGUCACAAAGUCAAAACAACUCAAUCAGCCUGUCUCUGCUGCUAAAUAACAAAAACUACAGUUCAAUGAAAACAG